rnacentral:pre_miRNA from 11 species
UUUUAGAGGUGAAAGACUCCCGCAGAGGGAAGACCCUCACUCAAGUCUCGGGAUGACGCGAUCCCCCAAGAACUCACGAGAGACC